GAAUUGCAGAAUCCCGUGAACCAUCGAGUCUUGAACGCAAGUUGCGCCCAAAGCCAUAAGGCCGAGGGCACGUCUGCCUGGGCGUCACGUAUCGCGUCGCCACCCCAACCCGCACACGUAUACCGUGCUGCGGGGCAUCAUGUGGGGGCGGAUAUUGGCCUCCCGUGCGCUUCGCCGCGGUUGGCCUAAAAGCGAGCCCCGGGCGACAGAACGUCACGAUAAGUGGUGGUUGAUAAGCCCCGGCCCUUCAAGUGUCAUGUCGUGCGUUGCCCUGUCGCUCGUUGGAGCUACGAGACCCCGAUGCGUCGUCCCCGACGAUGCUUCCAUCGCGACCCCA
rnacentral:rRNA from 1 species